rnacentral:rRNA from 1 species
GCCUAAAUCUUAGCUAACCAGAACUACAAAAUAACCUUAAAACAAGCCAAACCAUUUGCACUAAGCUAGUCAAUGAGAUUAAACACUAUCUUAAGCCUCCCUCUACCGCAAGGGAGCAAUGAAAUAGUAGUGAAAAACUCAAGCAUAGCACAGCAAAGAUAGACCCUUGUACCUCUUGCAUCAUGGUCUAGCCAAAUAACUUUAAACAAAGAGAACUUCAGCCUACUUACCCGAAACCAAACGAGCUAUUCCUGGUCCGCUUUUCACUAGAGCUCACCCGUCCCUGUGGCAAAAGGGUGGGAAGACCCAAGAAUAGAGGCAAGACGCCUACCGAGCUUGGUGAUAGCUGGCUACUCAACAAAAGAACCUUAGUUCAACCCCAGACUUCCAACCAAGACUACUAUUAAACCUAACCUACACUCCCUUAGUCCAAGGGAAACUCAAUGGGGGUUCAGCUCCAUUGACCCGGAAUACAGCCCGAACCGCGAGAAAUCAACCUCUAGUAUAAAGUGGGCCCCAAAGCCGCCACCAAAAAAUGCGUUAAAGCUUCCUCUAACGCUAAUUCAUUUAACUUAACCACUCUCCUAGCCCUAAUCGAGUAGUUUUAUUUUCCAAUAAAAAUUCCCAUGCUAGAACUAGUAAUGAGGAUAAACCUCUCCGCAUGCCUUUAAACCAGAAUUGAAAGACCACUGGUAAUUAACAGACCACAAAGGGCCUGACAUACACCACCUAGCCCCUCUGUCACACUCCUCCCUGUUACUCCAACACAGGUAUGCAAGAAAGAAAGGCUUAAAUCUGCAAAAGGAACUCGGCAAUAACAGUCCCAACUGUUUACCAAAAACAUAGCCUUUAGCCCAACAAGUAUUAAAGGUCUCGCCUGCCCAGUGACUCUUCAACGGCCGCGGUAUCCUAACCGUGCAAAGGUAGCAUAAUCACUUGUCCCCUAAAUAGGGACUAGAAUGAAUGGCUAAAUGAGGACUCAACUGUCUCUUGUAGAAAGCCAAUGAAACUGAUCUUCCAGUCCAAAAGCUGGAAUAUUACCAUAAGACGAGAAGACCCUGUGGAGCUUUAAACCUUGACCACUAAACAUGCUACUUUAGGUUUUUAGUUGGGGCGACUUCGGAGCAUAAAACAACCUCCGAGUGUAAUAUAUCAAGAUCAACACAUCAAAGUAACAGACUUGACCCAGCAGCUCUAAUUAAACUGUCUGACCUAUGAACCAAGUUACCCCAGGGAUAACAGCGCUAUCCCCUUCAAGAGUCCUUAUCGACAAGGGGGCUUACGACCUCGAUGUUGGAUCAGGAAAACCUAAUAGUGUAACCGCUAUUAAGGGCUCGUUUGUUCAACGAUUAAAAUCCUACGCGAUCUGAGUUCAGACCGGAGCAAUCCAGGUCGGUUUCUAUCUAUGUAGGACCAUCCCCAGUACGAAAGGACCGGGAUAGUAAGAUCACUGCCAAAAGCACAUCCUACCAAAAAUUGCUGACCUUCUAUUAAGCAGUCAUUGGCCUACCCAGUGACUCAAAAUAAGGGGUU